AUUAAAUUGCAUUCAAGAAUUCUACAGUAGCCUUGGUGGUCUGCAACGACAUUUCAGGGAUUAGAUGCUCUAUCUCCUGUCUCAGACAGGAAGAGAGAGGCACCGACUGUUGUGGAGCCUCACUGCAUGAAGAGGAGCAGACACAUGAGCAGAACCCAGGAUGGAAGAAUGUAAUCACCAGCGUGACUCCAGUGAUGGAGAUGAACUAGAUGUGGAGACUGGGGAGCAGCAGAGUCAACUCAGUUAUCAUCUUGGCGGCCG
rnacentral:lncRNA from 1 species